UAUUGUAAUUAUUUUAGAUGUUUCUGAAAGAUUGAUUGAGAGCAGGACAGAAGAGUCCUCCCUGAGGAGUGGCCCCAGUGGAUCCCCAGAUUCCCACAGAGAAGAUUCAGACAGCGAGAGAGAGGAGCCUCCAACAACGAGUGGCGGCCCAAGUGGACCUCCAGACAUUUCCAAAUCAAGAACUGAUAGUCCAGUCCAGCCACGUCUGAAACUCUAUCCGAGGACACUCCAGGGCGACAGGCGCAGAAACUUUCAGGCAUCGUGGUACUCUAUCCACACAUGGCUUGAAUAUUCACUGUCA